UCCUGUGUGGCUCAGUUGAUAGAGCAUGGCACUUUCAAUGCCAGGGUUCUGGGUACGAUUCCCACGAGGGAC
rnacentral:tRNA from 1 species